UACGUAGGGGGCUAGCGUUGUCCGGAAUCAUUGGGCGUAAAGAGCGUGUAGGCGGUCCGGUAAGUCCGCUGUGAAAGUCGGGGGCUCAACCUCGAGACGUCGGCGGAAACCAUCUGGCUAGAGUCCGGAAGAGGAGAGUGGAAUUCCUGGUGUAGCGGUGAAAUGCGCAGAUAUCAGGAAGAACACCAGUGGCGAAGGCGGCUCACUGGUCCGGUACUGACGCUGAGGUGCGAAAGCGUGGGGAGCAAACAGG
rnacentral:rRNA from 1 species